ACGAACGCUGGCGGCAGGCCUCACCCAUGCAAGUCGAGCGAGGACUUCGGUCCUAGCGGCGGACGGGUGAGUAACGCGUGGGAACGUGCCCUUUGCUUCGGAAUAGCCCUGGGAAACUGGGAGUAAUACCGGAUGAGCCCUUUGGGGGAAAGAUUUAUCGGCGAAGGAUCGGCCCGCGUUGGAUUAGGUAGUUGGUGGGGUAAUGGCCUACCAAGCCGACGAUCCAUAGCUGGUUUGAGAGGAUGAUCAGCCACACUGGGACUGAGACACGGCCCAGACUCCUACGGGAGGCAGCAGUGGGGAAUCUUAGACAAUGGGGGAAACCCUGAUCUAGCCAUGCCGCGUGAGCGAUGAAGGCCUUAGGGUUGUAAAGCUCUUUCAGCUGGGAAGAUAAUGACGGUACCAGCAGAAGAAGCCCCGGCUAACUCCGU
rnacentral:rRNA from 1 species